UACGUAGGUCCCGAGCGUUGUCCGGAUUUAUUGGGCGUAAAGCGAGCGCAGGUGGUUUAAUAAGUCUGAUGUAAAAGGCAGUGGCUCAACCAUUGUGUGCAUUGGAAACUGUUAGACUUGAGUGCAGUAGAGGAGAGUGGAAUUCCAUGUGUAGCGGUGAAAUGCGUAGAUAUAUGGAGGAACACCGGUGGCGAAAGCGGCUCUCUGGACUGUAACUGACACUGAGGCUCGAAAGCGUGGGUAGCAAGCAGG
rnacentral:rRNA from 1 species